CUGGUUUCCGCUUUCGCUUUAAAUAAUCAUUUGGUGAGAAAAAUCAGCUCCAAUUACAUUUCAGGUUCAAAUCAAGCACUGAGUAAAAUGUUUUUUUGCAAAACCCGUUGGAUCAAAUCCCUCCAGAGAUUUAUGCUGGUAUGAAAUGAAAUGAAAUAUUUUUAUAUCCUUUUAGCUUGUAACCAAGUCGUCGUGCCAGGCCAGGUUAUUUUGCAGUGAUUUAACUCCUCUUCCAAACAGACACCUUGAGCUCGCGUCACACGAACCGCACAGAGCGCUGCAGCUUUUAACUUUGCGUUGUGCGUGCGCCUUGUGCGCACGCUCGUUCGCGUAAGCCACCCCCCAGGUCUCUGGCACGAACGCGACUGCAUCGGGGGUGUGUUCCCAAGAGUCGCUGUACCAAGGCCAAAGGACCUUCAGAAAGCAGGACGGCGAGUCCGUUCCCGUGCCGCGGCGUUGCGGUGGGUGAAGUACUCGGCAUUAUUCUGCUUUCAGGACGCAUAGAGGAGGCCAAAGCACCCCUGUGCAGGAGAACUCAAGGAAGGAGAGGCACCCGACCCACUCUGCCGGCUCUGCAAAGAGUGAACACCUUCUGAGGUCUUGAUCGCCAUAUCGUUCAGAAUCUGGGAGCUAGGAUGAGGCAGCUGCGCUAAGUACACACCUGCGCCGUGGCUCUCAUCGUCCAGACUACCGUUGGAGAAGAGACGCCCUGGGACACAGUGGUCCCCCAUCACCCCACCAGCUAGGGCAAUAAAGAAGGCACCAGGUGAGGCUCUAAGCCGGAG
rnacentral:lncRNA from 1 species